rnacentral:rRNA from 1 species
GAUGAACGCCAGCGGCGCGCUUAAUGCAUGCAAGUCGAGCGAUGAGGUCUCCUUCGGGGGGCACAUCAGCGGCAGACGGGUGAGUAACACGUAGGUAACCUACCCCAGAGACAGGGAUAACCCUAGGAAACGAGGGCUAAUACCGGAUGACCUCCGGAAGGAGGAAAGGCUCAGGCGCUCUGGGAGGGGCUUGCGGCCCAUCAGCUAGUUGGUAGGGUAAAGGCCUACCAAGGCGAAGACGGGUAGGGGGUGUGAGAGCACGGCCCCCCACAAUGGGACUGAAACACGGCCCAUACUCCUACGGGAGGCAGCAGCAGGGAAUAUUGCACAAUAGGCGAAAGCCUGAUGCAGCGACGCCGCGUGAGUGAAGAAGGCCUUCGGGUCGUAAAGCUCUUUUGUAGGGGAAGAGGAAGGACGGUACCCUAAGAAGAAGCGUCGGCUAACUACGUGCCAGCAGCCGCGGUAAGACGUAGGACGCGAGCGUUAUCCGGAAUUACUGGGCGUAAAGGGCCAGCAGGCGGCUUGGUAAGUUGUGCGUGAAAGCCUCGUGCUCAACGCGAGGAAGCCGGACAAUACUGUCGAGCUAGAGGGCAUCAGAGGGGAGUGGAAUUCCCGGAGUAGCGGUAAAAUGCGCAGAUAUCGGGAGGAACACCGAUGGCGAAGGCAGCUCCCUGGGAUGCACCUGACGCUAAGAGGCGAAAGCUAGGGGAGCGAACAGGAUUAGAGACCCUGGUAGUCCUAGCUGUAAACGCUGGGUGCUAGGUGUGGGACGUAGAAGUUCCGUGCCGGAGCAAACGCGAUAAGCACCCCGNCUGGGAAUUACGGUCGCAAGGCUAAAACUCAAACGAAUUGACGGGGCCCCGCACAAGCAGCGGAGCGUGUGGUUCAAUUCGAUGCUA